GCCGGCGAUGUCCGAAUGGGGAAACCCAGUGCAAUUCGUUGCACUAUCGUUAACUGAAUACAUAGGUUAACGAGGCGAACCGGGGGAACUGAAACAUCUAAGUACCCCGAGGAAAAGAAAUCAACCGGGAUUCCCCCAGUAGCGGCGAGCGAACGGGGAGCAGCCCAGAGUCUGAAUCAGCUUGUGUGUUAGUGGAACGGUCUGGAAAGUCCGACGGUACAGGGUGAUAGUCCCGUACACCAAAAUGCACAGG
rnacentral:rRNA from 1 species